rnacentral:lncRNA from 1 species
GGAGACUUACAGUGUUAAGACGAUACCGAUCUUGUGAUUUUUUCCCAAGUCUCCGCAAACUAAUCUCAAAUUAGUCAGUCUAUAGCCUAAAACUUUCAAGAAGAUGCAUUUUUUUUAAUUUAGCAACUAAAAACCAAAAACAGAGAAAAACUGAAAAACAAAAUAAACAAAACAAAACAAAUAAAUGGUUCCCUCCCCCACACUUAAAACAUACAUUGUCCUCAAUGAAAUACCAUAAAUAUAAAAU